AAUAUGGGACAAUGGGCUAAAGCCUGAUCCAGCCAUGCCGCGUGUGUGAAGAAGGUCUNAGGAUUNUNAAGCACUUUAAGUCGGGNGGAAGGGCAGUAAGUUAAUACCUUGCUGUUUUGACGUUACCGACUGAAUAAGCAACGGCUAACUUCGUGCCAGCAGCCGCGGUAAUACGAAGGUUGCAAGCGUUAAUCGGAAUUACUGGGCGUAAAGCGCGCGUAGGUGGUUCGUUAAGUUGGAAGUUAAAGCCCCGGGCUUAACCUGGGAAUUGCUUUCAAAACUGACGAGCUAGAGUACGGUAGAGGGUAGUGGAAUUUCCUGUGUAGCGGUGAAAUGCGUAGAUAUAGGAAGGAACAUCAGUGGCGAAGGCGACUACCUGGACUGAUACUGACACUGAGGUGCGAAAGCGUGGGGAGCAAACAGG
rnacentral:rRNA from 1 species